UAGGGAAUCUUCGGCAAUGGGGGGAACCCUGACCGAGCAACGCCGCGUGAGUGAAGAAGGUUUUCGGAUCGUAAAGCUCUGUUGUUAAGGAAGAACGAGUGUGAGAAUGGAAAGUUCAUGCUGUGACGGAACUUAACCAGAAAGGGACGGCUAACUACGUGCCAGCAGCCGCGGUAAUAAGUAGGUCCCGAGCGUUUUUCGGAUUUAUUGGGCGUAAAGCGAGCGCAGGCGGUUAGAAAAGUCUGAAGUGAAAGGCAGUGGCUCAACCAUUGUAGGUUUUGGAAACUGUUUAACUUUAGUGCAGAAGGGGAGAGUGGAAUUCCAUGUGUAGCGGUGAAAUGCGUAGAUAUAUGGAGGAACACCGGUGGCGAAAGCGGCUCUCUGGUCUGUAACUGACGCUGAGGCUCGAAAGCGUGGGGAGCGAACAGG
rnacentral:rRNA from 1 species